rnacentral:rRNA from 1 species
UGGGUUUGGGAGUUGGUUAUUUUGGGGUUUUUUUUUUUUGGGGGGGGGGGGACUCGGAGGGAUCAUUACCGAGUUUACAACUCCCAAACCCAAUGUGAACGUUACCAAACUGUUGCCUCGGCGGGAUCUCUGCCCCGGGUGCGUCGCAGCCCCGGACCAAGGCGCCCGCCGGAGGACCAACCAAAACUCUUAUUGUAUACCCCCUCGCGGGUUUUUUUAUAAUCUGAGCCUUCUCGGCGCCUCUCGUAGGCGUUUCGAAAAUGAAUCAAAACUUUCAACAACGGAUCUCUUGGUUCUGGCAUCGAUGAAGAACGCAGCGAAAUGCGAUAAGUAAUGUGAAUUGCAGAAUUCAGUGAAUCAUCGAAUCUUUGAACGCACAUUGCGCCCGCCAGUAUUCUGGCGGGCAUGCCUGUCCGAGCGUCAUUUCAACCCUCGAACCCCUCCGGGGGGUCGGCGUUGGGGAUCGGCCCUGCCUUGGCGGUGGCCGUCUCCGAAAUACAGUGGCGGUCUCGCCGCAGCCUCUCCUGCGCAGUAGUUUGCACACUCGCAUCGGGAGCGCGGCGCGUCCACAGCCGUUAAACACCCAACUUCUGAAAUGUGACCUCGGAUCAGGUAGGAACCCCCAUU